rnacentral:lncRNA from 1 species
CCCCUCCCCAUGAUAGGCCCCGGUGUGUGAUGUUCCCCUUCCUGAGUCCAAGUGAUCUCAUUGUUCAGCUCCCACCUAUGAGUGAGAACAUGCGGUGUUUGGUUUUCUGUUCUUGUGAUAGUUUGCUGAGAAUGAUGGUUUCCAGCUGCAUCCAUGUCCCUACAAAGGACACAAACUCAUCCUUUUUUAUGGCUGCAUAGUAUUCCAUGGGUAUAUGUGCCACAUUUUCUUAAUCCAGUCUGUCACUGAUGGACAUUUGGGUUGAUUCCAAGUCUUUACUAUUGUGAAUAGUACCGCAAUAAACAUAUGUGUGCAUGUGUCUUUAUAGCAGCAUGAUUUAUAAUCCUUUGGGUAUAUAUCCAGUAAUGGGAUGGCUGGGUCAUAUGGUACUUCUAGUUCUAGAUCCUUGAGGAAUCGCCAUACUGUUUUCCAUAAUGGUUGAACUAGUUUACAAUCCCACCAACAGUGUAAAAGUGUUCCUGUUUCUCCACAUCCUCAGAGGUUCUUUGAACUCAGAACCUGAGUAAACUCAGUCAUUCAGCAUCUAAUCACUCAGCAAACAUGCCAAACACUGUUCUAGACACUGGAGGUACAAUGGAGAGCAAGACAGACAUUGGCUCUAACCUCAGAAAGCUUGCAUUCUAAUAGAGGAGAGAAACAAACAAAUACAUAAAAGAAAACUGCGAUUUUCUAGGUUCCAGUUUGCCAUCAACUCACCAUCUGGGAUUAUAAACUCAAAAGAGAAAAAUAUCCAAGGGCAAUGGCAACUUUAUGGUGUGAAAAGAGACCUGAAGACACAGGCUUUUUGGAGAUGCAGGAAAGAGAAGCCGUUAGAUCAUCAAGAAGUGAGCUGAGACAACUUCAAGUUCAGCACCUACGGGAGUUGGAACCAAGGGAGAAGUGUCUCUUCGAAAAGUCAAAAACAGUGAGGGAGACCAAGAUGCAUAGAGCAAGAGAUGGGAUGAAACAUAUGCUGGUUUCUCAUGAAAGUUACAAAACUCUAUUGGGGUGUGUGUGUGUGUGUGUGUGUGUGUGUGUGUGUGUGUGUGUGUUUUGGGGGCAAUGCUGGUAAUGGGGAGCUCACAGUGUUAAAUAUAUAGCAAAGACAGAAAAAUGAUGACUUGGGACAAGCUAUUGAAAUAAUAACUUGAUGUCUAGCAGAUCAGGAUGCUUUUGAAUAAUCUGAUGUGGGGAAACAAAACAGCCAGUAAAUUGUGAAGGAGUAAAGGUAAAAGUUAAGCUAGUCUAUAUGCAUUACUAUUUAUUCACUCAUUUACUGUUUUCAUUCAUUUAUUUGACACAUACUUGUUGAGCAUCUACUGGGGCUGGGCAUCUUUUAGAAAAUGGGAACACCAAUGAAUCAGACACUGCCCUACCCUCAUGGAUCUUAUAAAAGCUAUUCUUUGACAAGAUGAGACUUUUCUUCUUCAAUUCUGGUAAAUUCAGUGGACCAUAUAAUUCAUUUCAAACUGUUUUCAUGUAGGAGAGAUUUGUGUAUGAUUGAGAGCAAGGAAAAGAGGCUUAGAAGGGGAAUUCAAACAUUGAAGACACAAAAGAAAAAAUAAAUAAUAAAAUACCGUGAUCUCUUUGAAAUUGAGAAUUAGAUGAAAUGAAAGAAAUAUAAAAAGGUAGUUUGGCCCUGUGGGGAAGAUGAGCUGUUCUUCCUCUGACACAGAAAAGAAGGAAGAAAGAACAUGCUGGAAGCAGAGCAAAGAAGAGGUAAGACACUGUAGUUAUUUUAAAUAUCCACCUGUUGAUAUACACAGGCUUAGAGACAUUACUGAAAGUAUAAGCCAUUUUUAAAGAUAAACAGUGCUCGCAUAUGUAUAUGUUACAUCCAAAGCCCAUAGUGUCUAAACAUAUCAAUGUUUAAUUAUUAUUUGAAUAAUAAAUUAAAAUUUGGUUGAUAUUUUACUUCUGUUUAUUAUUGACUAAUCAUUGCUUAACUCAUCACUACAAUUCUUACUGGUGGCUUUGAUAUCAACAUGUGGUUUGACGAACCUCCCAUAGUGACGAAUCAUUCUUCGAUUCCCCAGGUUAAUUUGAAAAUGAUCCGAAGAUACACACAUAGGGUGUCUUAUUCUGUUUGUGCUGCUAUAACAAAAUCCUACAAAUGGGUAAUUUAUGAAGAACAGAAAUUUAUUUCUCACAGUUAUGAAGGCUGGGAAGUCCAGAAUCAAGUUAAUGGUAGUUUUAGUGUCUGAUGAGGGGCCCAGCCUCACCUUCCUAGAUGCAUUCUCUGAAAGGCAGGAAUGCUGUGUCUUUACAAGGCCAAAGGAGUAGAAAAGGGAAAGAACUGAAUGCUAUGUGGAGCCUCUUUAAUAAGGACUCAAUACCAUUCAUAAGAAAGGAGCUCUCAUGAUGUAAUUACUUCUUAAAGUCUCCAUGCCUUAAUUCUAUCACAUUGGCCAUUCAAUUUCAGCACAUGAACUUUGGAGAAGACUCAUUCAAACCAAAGCAUAGGGAGAACUUCAGGCUAAGCAUAUAGGUUGUUUUGUUUGGGACCUAUAUAUGGAUCUCAUCAGUCAUUUAGGACUGAGAACUGUUGAAAUGUUCAAGCUACUAUUUGAGGAUGACAUUUUGUGGCUCUUGAGAAGGGAAGUUCAUUAUUUAGGGAGACAUUUGAUUUAGGUGGUUGCUAUGACCCAACUAACUCUAGAAGUCUACAAGUCAAUUGAUCUCUCCCUGUUUUUGCUUCAUCCAACAAAGCAGGCUUUGGUCUAUCCAGGCUGGUCAUCAAGGUUUCUGAAAUAAUUGAUUUGUCCAAGAGACAAUCAGUUCAAUGCUCCAUUUCUUAGUUUAAUAGGAGACAUUAUAACCCUCUUAAACCUCAUUCUAUCCCCUCAGAAAAAUAGCAUUCAUUUCAGUAGCUACAGCUGGCCUCUGUCUUUAUAACUCUUUGGUGUUCAGCAAGACAGCCGUACUGUAGCUGCAAGCUAUUACAACAACACACUGACUUCCAGAUUUACAACUGUGUGCUUGUCAUUUCCAGAUGUAGUUUUACUAAGACAGUUGUGCAGGAAACAUUGUGAGAAGCAGCAGAUUUCCAGUAAAACAUGCCUAUAAACACUAUGGUUUCUGGCAAAGAGGGGAAAAAAAAGGUUUACACCCAGAUGCCUUAAAAAUAUAUAGUCUACCUUUUGUUCAUAUUUACCCUGAGGGUUUAAAUGUGAUCUACAGCUUUGGUUUUUGUUUUGUUUGUCCCACCCUGACACUGGAGCAACCUAUCUAGACUCCUGUGUCCUGUAAAUGGUUUGAACACUGUUUUAAUUGCCUAUUGUUCUACUAACAACUUAGGAAUUUUCUAAUACAAAGUAAGAAUCUUAACUACGCAAGCAAUUGCUGUAGGUUUUCUGAAUUGAUCUCCAUAAUCUAUAAGCCUCUGAGCAGUGCUUGGACAGGUUAAUUUGAAAGCAGAAACCAAAACUUCCUGUGGGAAGUCACAGACCCACAAUUUCAUGAAUAUUUUUUCUACAUUCCAUUGAAUAUGCUGCCUUUUUCCCUUAGCAUAAGCCUACAUGAUUCAAAAGACAUGUUUUGGCAGGAAGCGAAUUAACACAUAUGGGUGUGGGUGGCAGUGUCUUAAUGCCCCACCUGGGUCCACCCUUAUUAUCAGCCAUGACUGAAUCUAUAUAAUACUAAGUCAAGGAAGAAAUUGGUUAUGACAGACUCAACCCUCAUCAAAGUUAGGAAGUAGAUGAAAUAUACUGACUCCAUGUCUGUUAUCCUUAAUUUUCUCUUAAACCAACCUCUUUUCUUUAAGGACGCACUAAAAUGUUGCUGGCAUGUCAGUGUUCCCCUCAACUGGGGCAUUACCAUGUCCUCUACCCAUUGCUCCAGACUUACCUAUUCCCAUUCUCUCCUUCGUCAAUACAUACCUGCUUUCAGUCAUCCACCCAUCUAUCUGCUCACUCACCCAUUUAUAUAUAUUCUUACUAAUUAAAAUGAGUAACCUCUAGUGUGUUAGUGACAUAGGAAUAUACCACAAGAAUGAUUGAACCUGAAGAGAUGAUUCUUAUACAUUUAAUAAUUCAAUGUCUUAAUUUUUUUCAAACAUUUAUUUUUGCAGAGGCUUAUGUUUCCAUACAAGAAUUUUGGGAUCCACGUGGAGUGCAAGAGGUUGGAAAAGGAGUUCUCAAAAAAUAAAAUGUUCAGUGGGGCGCAGUGGCUCACGCCUCUGAUCCCUGCACUUCGGGAGGCUGAGGUGGACGGAUCACCAGGUCAGUAGAUCGAGACCAUCCUGACCAACAUGGUGAAACCCCAUCUCUACUAAAAAUACAAAAAAAAUUAGCUGGGUGCGUGGCGGGCGCCUGUAGUCCCAGAUACUAGGACGCUGAGGCAGGAGAAUGGCGUGAACCCGGGAGGCGGAGCUUGCAGUGAGCCGAGAUCAUGCCAAAGCACUCCAGCCUGGGUGACAGAGCGAGACUCUGUCUCAAAAAAAAUAAAAUAAAAUAAUAAAAAGUUCUUGUUUGCUCUACAAGAGUAGCUUAACUUCUUUCCAAAGUAUAUUUCUGGAUUCAUGUGAGAUUUGUAGUUUAAAAUGGGGUUAUAAAAGAAAAAAAAGAAAGAAUGCCACCACCUCAAUCCAAAUAAAUAAAUUCUCUUAAGACUGUGUCACAUCAGUGAUACAGAUAGGCUGGAAUAUCUUCUAAAAGGCUCUUACUAUAAAUGCGUAAUUCACAUUGGUCCCAAUUGUCUGUGAAUGCAUCAUCCUCGUGGUUUAAACCUAAGUUCCUGAAGUGCAAUCAAACUGCCUUGCUUCCUUGUCAAUGCUGAGUUGAGAUCAUGUUCCAUGUAGCCAAAAAUUGUGAAAAGAGGAUAGAAAGCUGAUGAGUACCUGUUUCACUUCAUCCAACAAAGCACUUGGUCAAUCCAAGCUGGCUGUCAAGGUUUCUGAAAUAGGGUACCCCUUCCAGAGGGCAGAAUAGAUCUUAAAUAAUGGUCCUAGGCUCUGCAAACAACUAGCUGGGCAGCUUUUAUUCUUAAUUGUUUAGGGUCAUGGGUUAUUCUGAUUUGCCAGGCCUGUGUCACUUGUCUACUUUCUAUAUAAGCAGAAUUACUAUGGGGUGAAGGAGAAAUGCAAAUAAAAAUUAUGCUAAUAAAGUAUUUAAGUAGGCAGUAUUUUCUCAAAAUGAAUGAUGCUGGGUUAACAUGCGCAUACAUGUAGUAGAAUAACAGAGCAAAAUAUUUGUAGUGGAUGACUUUCACUUCAGACAGAAACACAGUAUCCAUUUCCCA